CAUGAGACAUCCUCAAUAACUUCUGUGACUUUUCUUUUCCAUUUAGCUGUGUACUACAGUAUGACAAGGUCUCUGUCUGUCUCUACUGUGCCAAAGACUGGAUAAACCUGUUCAGAAAACGUGUCAUUGAAGGUGUAGAUAUGACUGCGUGCUACAACAUCA